rnacentral:rRNA from 1 species
UGGGGAAUCUUCCGCAAUGGACGAAAGUCUGACGGAGCAACGCUGCGUGAGUGAUGACGGCCUUCGGGUUGUAAAGCUCUGUUAAUCGGGACGAAAGGUCCUCUUGCGAAUAGUUAGAGGAAUUGACGGUACCGGAAUAGAAAGCCACGGCUAACUACGUGCCAGCAGCCGCGGUAAUACGUAGGUGGCAAGCGUUGUCCGGAAUUAUUGGGCGUAAAGCGCGCGCAGGCGGAUCAGUCAGUCUGUCUUAAAAGUUCGGGGCUUAACCCCGUGAUGGGAUGGAAACUGCUGAUCUAGAGUAUCGGAGAGGAAAGUGGAAUUCCUAGUGUAGCGGUGAAAUGCGUAGAUAUUAGGAAGAACACCAGUGGCGAAGGCGACUUUCUGGACGAAAACUGACGCUGAGGCGCGAAAGCCAGGGGAGCGAACGGGAUUAGAUACCCCGGUAGUCCUGGCCGUAAACGAUGGGUACUAGGUGUAGGAGGUAUCGACCCCUUCUGUGCCGGAGUUAACGCAAUAAGUACCCCGCCUGGGGAGUACGACCGCAAGGUUG